CAUGACAACGCCGUUUCUCAUACGAACACAGAAGUUAAGCAACGUCAAGCCUGAUCAGUACCUAGAUGCGUGACAGGUUGGGAAUACCAGGUGUUGUA